rnacentral:lncRNA from 1 species
CCCCCUGGAGGCGGCAGCGCCCGUUUAUUUGAGGCUUCUAAUGUGAGGAAAAACACGGAAUGACAAGUGUGGGAAAGAGCAAGCACUAAAUUACUGUCAGAAAAAUAAACGGAGUAGCACAGUGCUGCUCGGUGAUUUACGGGGGCAAUUAGUCACCACCCCACGGCGCUGCUGAGGACAGCACAGCAGCAGACAAGUCAGGCCCACGAGGAAGAAGAGGCUUUGCACUGCUCUCCAGACAACUUUUCAAACAACAAGAGAGGAUAUUUGAGCACAUUAGGUUUUGUGUCUUCAUUCUGGCCAUGUGAAGAUGUGCUUGCUUCGCCUUCCAUCAUGACUGAAGUUUCCUGAGGCCUCCCCAGCUAUGCUCCCUAUACAGCCUGCAGAACGGUCGGCUGCCUCCAAUCCUGAGGUCAUCACUCAUCAAGAGGGGAUAAUCCCAGGGACAGCAGGAUCUGCUUCGUUACUUGGAUUUAGGAGCCAGAAACCCAUCAGGCAACUAAACAGUAACAAUGACCCACCAUUAAACACACUGAGAGAAGAGCAUGAUGAAGAGUUUGUACAAGAAGAAGCCAGGAGCACUUGCUGACAAUGCUUACAGAGACGCAGGCUUCUAUGAGCUCUGCCUGUUGAACUGCAGUAAAAAUAGAUCUCCUUCCCCAGAGAGGCUUGGAUGUGGGCACAAUAUCAGUUCAGACGAUGGUCAAUGCAUGUACUUAAUAGAGUGAAAAGACUUUGGACUGUGAAGUCAGAUUACCUGGGUCUGAAUUGUUAUUCUUCUACUUCUUUGUAGUAUGCUUUCACCACAUUAAAAAUUGUCUGAGCCUC